AUUCCCGGACCCAGCUCGAGAGAGAUCGGGGUGAGCCCUCACGGGUUUCUUGGCGGGCUCCUUUUUCCUCCUCUUCUCCGAGUUGCUGUGGAAGGACAGGUCACGCCCACGGUAGGACGGGCCCCGGCUCAGCUCUCCGCGGCUCAGCUCCAGCUCGCUGUAGGGUGGCAGCGCGUCCUCAUCCGCCGCGUCGUCCUCGUCUUCGCCCUCGCUGGCCCCAGCCUUGUAUGUGGCUGGCGGCGACCAGGCAUAGUAGGAUGCGCUGCGCGGGCCCAGCUGCGCGCCCAGCUUGGACGGCGUCUCCAGGCUGCCCCCGCGGCUGCUGCUCUCCGGCCGCGCCUGGCGCUCCAGCACGCUGCUCAGGUACGAGUGAUCGUACUUGGGCGCGGUGCCCGGGGUCCGGCUCACCAGGCGCGGCAGAGGCGCAUCCUCCGGCGGCCGGCGGCGUGCGGGUGCAGGGCUGUAGGUCCAGCCGCGCUCCCCGUCUCCCGGCGGCUCGCGACUGCGUCCGCGCCCGUAGUACUCAUCCAGCGAGCCGUCCUGGUAGAAGGCACCGUGGGCCCGCGACUCCGAGCGCUCGAAGCGGCUCCCGGCCCGCGCCUCGUGGCUGUUGCCAUUGGCGCGCCGCGACCGCUGGCCGUAAGAGUCUGCGAAGGCUGCCAGUUCGUCCAUCGACACGGCCGGCACGCCCGUGGCAAAGUUCUUCCGCGACAACAUCUCGGAUUUGGAGCGCUGCUGGCUGCGGGCAGAUGGUCACUGGUUACUGCAUGGAACCCUUGCAGCGCACCCCUGGAGUUUCAGGGGCCCAGCUGAAUCUUACCCCUCAGCCCAGCAGGAUGAAUCAACUUUGGCACCUUUCGUGCUGCGAAUUCAGCCAGAGCAAUCCUGGCUCUCUCAUGAGUUUGUGUGGAAGACCAGAAUGGUUGUGUUAUCUGAAAAUACCUUGUGAUCUGUGUAGUGCCGAAACACACAGAUCAGCUUGUGAUCGUGAUGAGACCCCUGGGUGACAGCCACAUGUCUUACUUCACCCACCCUCACAACCACAGCAAACAGCAACACACAGCUCUGGUCCCAGGAGACCAGAAAUAAUUGGUAACAUAGAAAGGACUGUAUCUCUCUCUGGGGCAGGGACCAAGCUGCCUAUUAAGUCAAGAGGCCUGAGACCUCUGUAGUGGGUAAAGGAAAUGGGGGGGGGGUAACCUACUGUCCUCCAAGGAAAGAUAAUGAGUGCAGGCAUGCCAUUCAGGAAUCAAGCUGUCACACAGAUUAUUAAAUGUUGCUUGGACUUAUCACCCUGGGCAAGUUCCUUAGCAUCUGGAACUUUCUAUUUCCUGGCCUUAAAAUAGGAACAUCAACAGUAGCUGCUUUUUAGAAGUAUAAGGCUUAAUUACAAGAGAUGGUGGCAUGAUUAUCAUUCUUUUGAUAAAUGAUCAGGGUGGUGAAGAUAGUGGGUUCUUUAAAGGUUCUAGGAUAAAACAUAUGGAGAGAGUGUCUGUGCUCAUUACUGGGCCCAAGACACUCAUUUCAAAAAGGCUUAACUGGUUACUUCUCACACACAGUAUCACAGGUUGUAAUAUAUGUAAGAGAUAUUCCACAGUCUAUAGAAACAGAAGAACAGACACACAGUGGUCCCUUCCCACCCAUGGUCGUCACCUGUGCCUGAAGCUCUCACGGUCCUCUUUGUUAUACUCCAAGGCUGGCCCCCUGUUGGUCCCACUGUUGCCUCCCAUGACACCUGACCAGUAGUCGGGAUUGCUUUCCAGGUCUCCAGACAUAGGGAACUGCUUAUUCCGCAUCUGGUGGUAAGACUGGCGGAAAUUGCUGUCAUCAUCAUGCAGGGAGCUGAGUUCCGAGAUGGUGUUGUUAUCUGCAGGAACAAAAGCAGGCACCAUAGUUUUCUAAAUGGUUGGAAGGGAGUGCUGCUAAGGGCUGAGAUCGCAUUUUCCGGAAUCUUCUGCCUGGGAGCCCUGGUCCUGAGCAGUGUGAGCUGUAGAUGCUCACAGGUGAUAUUUGUGUUACUCAGCAGGAAUUGGCUCCAGCUCAAACCCAACUUGCUUACAGAGAGGGAGGCUUCCUACAUGCUGUUCUUGGAAUAGGGAGACAAUUGUCUUUGUUCUACCUAAGGCAGGCUUCCCGGACUCCCUUGUUCAAAUGUUUUUCUCUGUCCUAUAUAAUCACUGCGGUGAACUUCAAUGAUUCAGGCUAUGUUGGGCCAAGAGAGGAAGGGAAAAAAAGCCACUACUAAUAGCAUGUUCUCUACUGCUGGCCCAGUCCCAAAAGGGGGUCUUUAGAGCCAGUAUGAACCCCGUGCUUUAGAAGAGGCCCAUUCUGUUCUCCAAAUGGCUCAAAGUCAAGGUGAAGGACAUAUACCUUGGUUUCAGCUCACUUACCUUUUAGACCACGCUCCUGCUGUGUAAUGCCCUGCCCAAGGAUCACCAGACCUACAUAAGGCCUGGGUAGACCUGUUUCCCUCCCUACCAAAGGAUUGCAGGUGUUUGUGGUUGUGAGUGGCUAGGCCAGAAGUUUGGAAGGUGGACUUAGCCUUUGUGUCCACUGGGCUGUAGCUUGAACUCUAGCCCCUGCCUAAAAAAAGGAAGAAAGAUGCGGUCACAGAUUUCUCACUUCCUAGCUUUGUGCAGAAGUACUUAUGAACUAGGACUGGAGUUACGAUGUAGGCUAGAAAAAUAACAGAAAUUUCGAUUAUUUUAAAAAAAAACCUUAGAAAUAUAUUGAAUUUCCUUUUACUUAAACAAAUCUAGUGAACCUAUUUGUAAUGUAACUGAAUCCACUUGUUUUCUAAAUCUUUUAACUGAGACUUUGAAAAUAUUAUUAAAGACAACAUUUACUAGUC
rnacentral:lncRNA from 1 species